rnacentral:tRNA from 1 species
GGGGCUGUGAUCUAACUUGGCCAUGAUGCAAGGUUUGGGACCUUGUCGUCCCGGUUCAAAUCCGGGCAGCCCCA